GAUGAACGCUGGCGGCGUGCCUAAUACAUGCAAGUCGAGCGAACAGACGAGGAGCUUGCUCCUCUGACGUUAGCGGCGGACGGGUGCGUAACACGUGGAUAACCUACCUAUAAGACUGGGAUAACUUCGGGAAACCGGAGCUAAUACCGGAUAAUAUAUUGAACCGCAUGGUUCAAUAGUGAAAGACGGUUUUGCUGUCACUUAUAGAUGGAUCCGCGCCGCAUUAGCUAGUUGGUAAGGUAACGGCUUACCAAGGCAACGAUGCGUAGCCGACCGGAGAGGGUGAUCGGCCACACUGGAACUGAGACACGGUCCAGACUCCUACGGAGGGCAGCAGUAGGGAAUCUUCCGCAAUGGGCGAAAGCCUGACGGAGCAACGCCGCGUGAGUGAUGAAGGUCUUCGGAUCGUAAAACUCUGUUAUUAGGGAAGAACAAAUGUGUAAGUAACUAUGCACGUCUUGACGGUACCUAAUCAGAAAGCCACGGCUAACUACGUG
rnacentral:rRNA from 1 species